rnacentral:tRNA from 1 species
GUCCAGAUGAGCGCCAGUGAUUUGGUGUGGGUGCUUCAAACCCUCAACUGUUGCAGAUCAGAGUGGUUCGAAUCCACCUUUGGGCG